UUUUUUUUUUUAAAUACUUUAUUAAUAAGCCCUCACUUGUGGCGGAGGAAUACCAUGUUUACACACUCGAACAAUCGACACUAUACCAAUCAAACAACAAAGCAUGCAGACUCAAAAGACACCACUGCCCUAGCCUCAAUCAACAUCUCACUUCCUCCAAUACGCCACCCCCAUCAUAUCCAAACGAAGUAACCCUCGAGCAAGCCUUGGCAGCUCAAUCCAAGUAUUAAAAUGUUUCGACAGGCCUUUUGCUCCCAAUCCAACUAAACAAUCUACCACUUGGUUCCCUUCUCUCCAUUGAUAUGCCGCCUGAUAAUCAAAUUGCUGUAAUAAAUUCAAAAGAUUAUCCCAAAAGUCCCAUAGAUACCACAAAGAGCACUUUAAAGAAGAAAUCGAUGACAUCACCAACGCUGAGUCACACUCAAUGUCGAUAUGGUUUACACCAAGCUCACGACAUAGUUUUAAACCUACGAUGAGUGCUCUCAGUUCAGCCUCAUUGUCCGUCCCCUCACCAAAAUAGGUACUAAAAGCUGAAAUCAAUUCACCUUUUUCAUUUCCAAUCACUCCUCCUCCGUCGAUUUAUCCAGGAUUCCCAAGACUGCUGCCAUCCACAUUAAGUUUAACUCAAUUAUGAUGUGGUUUUUCCCAUGAAACUACUCGAAUAUGCUUCAUUCUAAAAGGUGCUUGAGGUAUCUCCAACAUUCGAAGCACAUACUCAUCAUGACUAGUUAGCACUUUGACAUUUGACAGAUUAAGAGAAACCUGUUGUAACCAGAAUUUAAUAGAUAAGACCACAUCCUCAACUGGUUCAAUGUUACCCUCCAUCAUUGCUUUACAUCAUCUUAUCCAGAGCUUCCAAGUAAUUAAACUUGGGAGCAAACCAAUCAAACAUCCCACCUUUGAUGAUCUUUUCGCUCGUGUCCACCAUAAAUUGAUUCUUUCCAUCCAAUUUUCACUUGCCCUCUAGCGCACACCAACCAAUGUUCCAACUUUCUUCCACACCUUGUCCACAAAGUCUCCAGAGCUUAGAACAUGAGAUGCAUUUUCCUCAUGACCUGUAGAGCAACAAUCACAUUUUGAUGCAAGGCUAAUGCCGACUGAUUUAAUGCGUUCAUCAACACUUAAACUCUCAUUAAGAGCUUUCCACAUGAGCACAGAGACACGCUUAGGCAAGGCGUUGCUCCAUAUCCAGGCCGCCCAUUCAACUUCAGUAGCUCGCACCCUCACCACCUCCCAAGCCGAUUUUGUAGUAAAUAAGCCCUAUUUAUGUGGUUUCCAAAUUAGCAAAUCUGUUCCCCUUCUUCGAGUUCCAACCUGAUAUACAACUUCAUUAGCCGGUGUGUCACCAACAAGUUCUCUCAGCCAAACCAUAUCCCAUCCAUUUUCUAAACAAAUUUAAUUAAUUUUCAUCGUUGGUUCUACAACCUGCAUUACUUGUGCACAAAGAGGGCCCUCGUCCAUCCAUUUGUCAAACCAGAAAGAGCGAGAGCCAUCCUUUAUCUUCCACUGACUAUGUUCAAUAACCUCUGGUAGACAGUUUCUCACUGACCUCCAGAAACGAGUCCCGGUAUCGCUAAGAUUAUCCAUAUCCAAGAUCCCCUUUUUAGAAUACUUUGCUCUGAAAAACCUUGCCCACAAUGAAUCUGAAGCUAAAAAACGCCAAGCAAACUUAAUGUGUAAAACUCAUUGAACAUCUUCUGUAACACUC
rnacentral:lncRNA from 1 species